UCUAUGGGGGGGGAUUUGGCCCCAUAGGUUGAGAACAUCUUCAGUGCGUUGAGCUUGGAGGACGAGGAAGAGGAGGAGGAGGAGGAAGGAAACCGGCCCCAUAGAAAGAAGGACGAGGAAGAAGAGGAGGAAGAUGGGAGGAAGAAGAAGAACAGGAAGAAUGAAAAGAACUGCAGCAGGCGGCAGAACCAAUUUGCUGCUUUGGGCUCCGACGAAGGGGAGGAAGAAGAAGAGGAAGAAGCCGAAAAACCCGGAAGUCCCGCCCCUAAAAUAGACCCCGCCCCCGGAAGUCCCACCCCCGGAAGUCCAACCCCCAAAGAGGAAGAGGAAGUGGGGGGAAAAAAGGCCCAAAUCAGUAAAAAGGAAAGGAAAAAGAUGAAGAAACAGCUGGAUUACCAGCGCCAGGUGGCCACGAUGGCGGCGGCCGCGGCCGACAGCGACUUCGCGGUGUCUCAGGCCGACGGGUCCUCGCGGCACGCGGCGCUCGACAACGCCGCCGACAUCAA